GAUGAACGCUGGCGGCGUGCCUAAUACAUGCAAGUCGAGCGAACGGACGAGACGCUUGCUUCUCUGAUGUUAGCGGCGGACGGGUGAGUAACACGUGGAUAACCUACCUCUUAGACUGGAAUCACUUCGGGAAACCGGAGCUCAUACCGGAUACUAUUUUGAACCGGAUGGUUCAAAAGUGAAAGACGGUUUUGCUGUCACUUAUAGAUGGAUCCGCGCUGCAUUAGCUAGUUGGUACGGUAACGGCUUACCAAGGCAACGAUGCAUAGCCGACCUGAGAGGGUGAUCGGCCACACUGGAACUGAGACACGGACCAUAGUCCUACGAGAGGCAGCAGUAGGGAAUCGUCCGCAAUGGGCGAAAGCCUGACAGAGCAACGCCGCGUGAGUGAUGGAGGUCUUCGGAUCGUAAAACUCUGUUAUUAGUGAAGAACAUAUGUGUAAGUAACUGUGCACAUCGUGACGGUACCUAAUCAGAAAGCCACGGCUAACUACGUG
rnacentral:rRNA from 1 species